UUGGGCGAAAUACCUUUUUAUUUUUAAAUACUUGAGGUAUACCACUUCAAUGGUGGUCAGGAAAGUAGGUGGCCACACGAAGACAUUGGAGGCAAAGCACAGUGCUGUUCCAUGGACCAGACGAUGAGGCAGAAGAGGCUUGUCGGCAUGGAAGGCGCCCACGUGGGAGGCGGCCACCUCAGCCUUCUUCCGCCUCCGUUGGAGGCCGCCAUGCUCGCGCAGGUGACCCUGCACCCCGGUCAAAGCAGUCAAAGCGGCAAGCCAACGCAGUAAUGGGGGGGACUGUGGAGGACCAGCGCGCGGCAUCAGACUCGCAAUGCAGAACGAGAGAAGGUGGAAAGGACCGGAGGAUAACUGCUCUAUUAGCUUCCCCUUACGAAGAUACAGAAGCACGAGGAGGAGAGAGAGAGAGAGAGCAGUAGCAGCAGCAGCAGAGGUAGAUCUCGAGAGAUCUCAAGGAAAGCGAUGGAGCUCAGACACCGUCAGAUCUGCUCGGUAUCAGAGACGUCGGGCUCUCUCUCUCUCUCUCUCUCUCUCUUCAGAAUAUUAGAUAGAAUCGGGAAACCGGGCUGCUCCUCCUCCUCCCCCCAUCUCUUUUCCUCGCUCCUUGUAGAAGACGAUGGCGUCCUGCUCUCUCUCCUCCUCCUCCUCCUCCUCGAAGCUCGAUUCCAAGCUCACUCCAUCUCUAGUCCCCUUCCUUCGCGAGUCCCCAUCAGCCACUUCUCUUUUUCUUUUUCUUGCUGUUCGUGGAUUUCUCUGAGCCCAAUGCUGCCUGCGAGUCGUUCGACUACCGAGAGUGUCGUAGUAAUGCACGUCGUACGUGGGCGGUGGUCGGACCAUGGUGCCCCUGCUCCGGUUGAUUGCCACUGUGCUCCAUCUCGAGGGGGUAAUCUCGCCAUUUCCCGGCAUUGCUCCGGUGGUCCUCCCGGGCGGAGGUCUCGUUGUUGGCUUCUGCCCGCCCGCCUGUCCCCGUGCACAUGGGUGAGCGAAGACCGCUGCAGCUACAUCAUCUCUCUCUCUCUCUCUCUCUCGUGUUCUGCUCUGUUUACGCUGAUCAAUGCAUUAGGAAGCAAAGAGCGGAGAGCAGCAGAAUUAAAUGAUGGUAAUGACUGCUACUUUUUAUCCGCAUGAUGGAUUUAGCCGUCAUCUCAUUUCCAUACCCCCGAAAGAAGCUCGGUGAGCGUGCAAGGGGCUUUUUGCUGUUGCUUCUGCGUCUGUGUGGGUGUGGGUGUGGGUGUGGGUGAGGGUGUGAGAGAGAGAGAGAGAGAGAGAGAAGGGGAUGCAGGACGAAGGAGAAACGAUGAGAGAGAGAGAGAAGAGAGCUUCCCUUCCCCAAAACGGAGCCAUCGAUACGUAAAAUCCGGGGGAAGUACGUCUCCUUGAGGCCCGAGUUCCCGAACUACCCUUGGGGUUCCGUUGCUGCCUCGGGAAACGAAGGGCAUUGCGGUCACUUCCUGUGGGUGGAGCUGUGUAUGGGGUACAGCUCUCCAUUUCUGUAUGGGACGUGGAAGAAGCGUGUCGCGUUGGGUUUACAUAUAAAGCGGUAAAAGACAGCGUAGGGAAGAGGAGAGCGAGUUGUUCUCUUUCUUCCUUUCUCUCUCUGCUUUAGUAUGCUUUGUCUGGUGUUGUUGGGUGUGAGGCAAAGCCAUUGAUCCUGCGCAGCGAGUCUACCGAGUUGGGAUGGUGAGCACUCAUCACAGAAGAUGGACCCGUACAUGGAUUUAGUGCUUGCUUUAGCUUCUGCUUUGCUUUGCUCUGUUCCGCCAUAUGUGAUGGAGAAGGAAGAACGUAGGCCAAGCUCAGCAAAGCAGGCAGUGCUACGUCGAGGAGAAAGAGAGGGAGGAUUGGCAUUGUCUGUUCCGGAGGCCUCUUUUUGCAGCUGACAAGAAAGAUCGAGGAAGGAACGGCCAUGGAAAGGGUGGAGGCGGUGGCAGAGAGGCCAGCCAUGGCGCGGCGGACGGGCGAAGGCAGGCCUCAUGACGGUGCAGGUGAAGACGACGAUGCACUACGCGAGGAGGCAGCCGACGUGCUUUAAGGUUUGUGUGCUGUGAUAUUGGUGUAAGCGGCUCAAUCAGUUAUCUCUUCUUCUUCUUCCUCUUCUGUUUCCUUUUUCUCUUCUUCUUCUUCUUCUGCCUACUACUCCCGUUACCACCAACAUGCUGUUUUGUAAUAAUAGCCUCUUGGCGUUGCUGCUUUGGCUUCCA